GAUGAACGCUCGCUGUGUGCCUAAUACAUGCAUGUUGAACGGGAUGUAGCAAUACAUUCAGUAGCGAAUGGGUGAGUAACACGUACCUAACCUACCUUUAAGACUGGGAUAACUAUUGGAAACAAUAGCUAAUACCGGAUAUAGUUAUUUAUCGCAUGAUGAGUAAUAGAAAGGAGCUUCACAGCUUCACUUAAAAAUGGGGGUGCGGAACAUUAGUUAGUUGGUAGGGUAAUGGCCUACCAAGACGAUGAUGUUUAGCCGGGCCGAGAGGCUGUACGGCCACACUGGGACUGAGAUACGGCCCAGACUCCUACGGGAGGCAGCAGUAAGGAAUUUUCCACAAUGAGCGGAAGCUUGAUGGAGCGACACAGCGUGCAGGAUGAAGUUCUUCGGAAUGUAAACUGCUGUUAUAAGGGAAGAAAAAAUAGAAUAGGAAAUGAUUUUAUCUUGACGGUACCUUAUUAGAAAGCGACGGCAAACUAUGUGCCAGCAGCUGCGGUAAUACAUAGGUCGCAAGCGUUAUCCGGAAUUAUUGGGCGUAAAGCGUCCGUAGGUUUUUUGCUAAGUCUGGAGUUAAAUGCUGAAGCUCAACUUCAGUCCGCUUUGGAUACUGGCAAAAUAGAAUUAUAAAGAGGUUAGCGGAAUUCCUAGUGAAGCGGUGGAAUGCGUAGAUAUUAGGAAGAACACCAAUAGGCGAAGGCAGCUAACUGGUUAUAUAUUGACACUAAGGGACGAAAGCGUGGGGAGCAAACAGG
rnacentral:rRNA from 1 species